rnacentral:rRNA from 1 species
GACGAGCCACACGAACGUUAUUCGGAAUUACUGGGCUUAAAGGGUGCGUAGGCGGUCGGGUAAGUCUGACGUGAAAUCCCGCAGCUCAACUGCGGAACUGCGUCGGAUACUAUUCGGCUUGAGGAAUGGAGGGGAGACUGGAAUUCUCGGUGUAGCAGUGAAAUGCGUAGAUAUCGAGAGGAACACCAGUGGCGAAGGCGAGUCUCUGGACAUUUCCUGACGGCUGAGGCACGAAAGCCAGGGGAGCAAACGGG